UACCAGCACCCCGAGUGGUCGGGACGUUUAUUGGGCCUAAAGCAUCCGUAGCCGGUUCUACAAGUCUUCCGUUAAAUCCACCUGCUUAACAGAUGGGCUGCGGAAGAUACUAUAGAGCUAGGAGGCGGGAGAGGCAAGCGGUACUCGAUGGGUAGGGGUAAAAUCCGUUGAUCCAUUGAAGACCACCAGUGACGAAGGCGGCUUGCCAGAACGCGCUCGACGGUGAGGGAUGAAAGCUGGGGGAGCAAACCGG
rnacentral:rRNA from 1 species